rnacentral:rRNA from 1 species
GACGAACGCUGGCGGCGUGCCUAAUACAUGCAAGUAGAACGCACAGUUUAUACCGUAGCUUGCUCCACCAUAGACUGUGAGUUGCGAACGGGUGAGUAACGCGUAGGUAACCUGCCUGGUAGCGGGGGAUAACUAUUGGAAACGAUAGCUAAUACCGCAUAAUAUUAAUUAUUGCAUGAUAAUUGAUUGAAAGAUGCAACUGCAUCACUACCAGAUGGACCUGCGUUGUAUUAGCUAGUAGGUGAGGUAACGGCUCACCUAGGCGACGAUACAUAGCCGACCUGAGAGGGUGGUCGGCCACACUGGGACUGAGACACGGCCCAGACUCCUACGGGAGGCAGCAGUAGGGAAUCUUCGGCAAUGGACGAAAGUCUGACCGAGCAACGCCGCGUGAGUGAAGAAGGUUUUCGGAUCGUAAAGCUCUGUUGUAAGAGAAGAACGGGUGUGAGAGUGGAAAGUUCACACUGUGACGGUAUCUUACCAGAAAGGGACGGCUAACUACGUG